rnacentral:rRNA from 1 species
UACAGAGGUCCCGAGCGUUGUUCGGAUUUAUUGGGCGUAAAGGGUGCGUAGGCGGCGGAGUAAGUUGGGUGUGAAAUCCCGGGGCUUAACCUCGGAAUUGCAUUCAAUACUGCUUCGCUCGAGUACUGGAGAGGAGGCUGGAAUUUACGGUGUAGCAGUGAAAUGCGUAGAUAUCGUAAGGAAGGCCGGUGGCGAAAGCGAGCCUCUGGACAGUUACUGACGCUGAGGAGCGAAAGCGUGGGGAGCAAACAGG